GACGAACGCUGGCGGCGUGCUUAACACAUGCAAGUCGAACGGAAAGGCCCUGCUUUUGUGGGGUGCUCGAGUGGCGAACGGGUGAGUAACACGUGAGUAACCUGCCCUUGACUUUGGGAUAACUUCAGGAAACUGGGGCUAAUACCGGAUAGGAGCUCCUGCUGCAUGGUGGGGGUUGGAAAGUUUCGGCCGUUGGGGAUGGACUCGCGGCUUAUCAGCUUGUUGGUGAGGUAGUGGCUUACCAAGGCUUUGAAGGGUAGCCGGCCUGAGAGGGUGACCGGGCACAUUGGGACUGAGAUACGGCCCAGACUCCUACGGGAGGCAGCAGUCGGGAGUAUUGCACAAUGGGCGGAAGCCUGAUGCAGCAACGCCGCGUGCGGGAUGACGGCCUUCGGGUUGUAAACCGCUUUCGCCUGUGACGAAGCGUGAGUGACGGCAAUGGGUAAAGAAGCACCGGCUAACUACGUG
rnacentral:rRNA from 1 species